rnacentral:rRNA from 1 species
UACGUAGGGGGCAAGCGUUGUUCGGAUUCAUUGGGCGUAAAGGGUGUGUAGGUGGCGCGCUAAGUCGGGUGUGAAAUUUCGGAGCUUAACUCCGAAACUGCAUUCGAUACUGGCGUGCUUGAGGACUGGAGAGGAGACUGGAAUUUACGGUGUAGCAGUGAAAUGCGUAGAUAUCGUAAGGAAGACCAGUGGCGAAGGCGGGUCUCUGGACAGUUCCUGACACUGAGACACGAAGGCCAGGGGAGCAAACGGGGAUUA